CCUGUCAAUCGCCCUGCCUGCUUCUCGUUCCUGCCUGCCUUUUUGCCCUUAGUUCCUGUGUGUCUUUGCCCGUUGGCCUUUUGCUUUUGCCCGUUUUGACUAUUAAAGUCCUUUUUGUGUUCAAACUCUGCAUUUGAGUCCUACCUCCCACGCAACCCCAGACAGUGUCUCUGGGACUUGUAGCCUCAUCUUGUAGGCAGGGGGACAAAUGGCUGUCUCUGGGACUUCAACAUCAUUUGUCAUCCUAAAAUCAAGGAUAUGGACCAAAACCUAAAAGAUGGCAAGCUUCUGUCCAACAGAGUCUAUCUCCACCACAACAAGGGGUUUUAUCCUGGGC
ensembl:lncRNA